GGCCGGUCCGCGGGCGGCAGGUGCGGUCCUUCGGGACUGUGAGCGGAGAACACCGGACCCGCGGACCGCCCUGAUCGCGGCGGUCACUGUCAUAAUGACAGACGCUGUCCGACGAGCGUGACGUGACAGGUGACAGUGAUUGGGGAAAGGGAUUUAUAUGGGAAAAUUUAACAGUGACAGUGACAGUGGCAAGGAUUUAUACGGAUAAAUGUGAACUGUGACAGCGACAGUGGCAAGGAUUUGUAUCCAAAUAGUGAGCGGCAGUAGUGACAGUGUGUGAUAGCCAUGCAGUCUGGUGGUAGUGUUCGCCAUCCCUGACUGCCGUCGCUCAUCACCCACCUGUAAAUGUCAGUAGUCGUCUGAACUCCCCAGCUCACCGACCGGUCCCCAUUGGCUUGGGGACGCCCGAGCAGCGCAGCAGACGCCAACAGAAGGCCACCAACAGGAGAGCAGCAACCUGUAGCGCGUGCCGCGUGGUGCGGGCGUCGGUUGGCCACCGCCACGCUGACCCGAUCCGUACAUACAGAUAGUCCUGGGCACAGCUCUCAGACGUGACACAGGGUCUUUGUAUAACUUUGCUUCUUUUUCAUUUUAUUAGGUAUAUGCAUUUUUAACCAGUGAUGGAAUUGUUCGUGAGGAAGAUGGGCUAAAAUGCCGCGAGAAGAACUGAGACUGUGCUGCCUCUAUUGUAGCUCUUGCAUUGCGUAGAUAGAAGUCUAGUCACAUGACCUGAUUUGAGCCAGCCUCGCUUGCCGAAAAGCUGGCCUCUCGUCACCUCACCUCAGACGUCACAUGACCCCAUUCACCAUAUUUGUGCUCCACCUUUGUGCUAAUUCACAUUGAUGUCUAAUAAAGGCCUUGCAACAA